ACGGCAUUUUCAGGUCUGUAAUUUAUCUGCAGAUCGGCUGGGCCCUGCACUCGGAAAGUAUUUGAUCUCCCUGGGCCUCCAUGGACCUGCAACUAGAAGACUGAUUACCAUCAGAGAGCUGAAUGGACCCCUGGGAACAGAGAGAAUUAGGGGAGAGUGUGGAGUUGGAUCUUUCCCAACCGGUGGCUGAGUCUGAGUUGAAUUUCCUGUUGGUCUACGGCAAGGGUUGAUGGCAGUUUAAGUAUCUUGGACUGUGAGUACCUCCAUUUGGCAUGAUGUUGCUCUAGACUUGCAAAAGAAUAUGCUUUUGGACACAGACUGCUGUGGUUCUCACGAGCAAGAUUUAGAGGCUGUACAUACAGGUAGACUGAAGGCUCAAGCGCUUGCCUCAAGCAUUGGGUGUGGGUCUGUUCCAAGUAUCCCUUCUUUCUCAUGGAACCAGCAGCUUCCCCAGACAUGUUCUCUUCAAGGCAGAUGGGCAGAAGUGCAAAAGGCGAAGCCAAAUUGUGUAAGUACAUUAAACCCCUGUCAGAUGGUGCAUAUAUUACACCUGCCUACGUUCCAUUAGCUACAGUAAAUCACAUGACCAAGCAAAACAUUGGGUGGGAAAAUAUAUCCUGGCUACUUCAGUGGGAGAUACUAUAAAAUUAUAUUGCAAAGAAUGUAUGUGUCUAAUUCUAUAACAGACAGUAGUGAAGAACGUAACCUAACAGAUUAUUAUAAUAGGUUGGGUGUUUGAUACCUUUUCGAGGUAGCAUUGAAUUAGAUAUGAGGGAUGAGAGAGAGAGUUAUAAAUGAAGAUUCCCACAUCUUUGACCUAAACAACUACGUUGAUGCAAGCACCAUUUACUGGUAGAAAGAAACUGGAGUAAAAGGAAGCUAGGGAUGAGAAGAAGACCAAUAUUUCAGUUUGGGAUAUAGCAAAGAAAUAGAUGAGUGAUACAGAAGGAGCUAACUGAAUAUUGAUGUUUGGAGUGAAACCUAUGGUUAGGUCUAGGCUUAUGAGUUAUUGGCACGUCAAUGAUAUCUAAAACUGUGGGAAUAGAGGAGAUCACCUAGGAAGGGAGCCUAGAGUGAGAAGAAAACCAAGGCCUGAAUCCUGAGAGGUUGUAAAGAAACAGUAUUCAGAAAAGGAUCUGAGAAAGUGAAGCCAGUGAAGUAGAGGGAAAGGAGGUGAAUGUCACAAAGGAGCUGAGGUAAAAAGAGGGUUUCAAGAUGGGGGCAAUAGUCAACAGUAUUGAAUUUUACUGAAAUUUCUGAUGAGUGUCCAUUGAAUUUAACAACAUGAAAAUUACUGCUGACUUUAGCAAAAGUAGUUUCUUGUAACUACUAGUGAGAGAAAAGCCAGAUGGGUGUAGACUGAACAGUGAACUUUCUCCUGCAUUGUUGAUUGGUUCAGAGAGGUAAGAAGGAAGAUAAUUGGAGGGUCAUCCAGGGUUGGUGUUUCACCCAGGUCAAGGAAGUAGAAGAAACUGGCAUGGAAAUUGAAGACAUUUUCAAGGACAUUUUUAUAAAGAUGGGCCUUGUAAUCCAAGCUAAAUGAGGAAAAACAUGGCGCGUAGUGAGAC
rnacentral:lncRNA from 1 species